GCCGAAGUGGCGGAACCUGGCAGACGCGCUGCGUUCAGGGCGCAGUGGGCGCAGGCCCGUGCGGGUUCGAAUCCCGCCUUCGGCACCG
rnacentral:tRNA from 1 species